rnacentral:lncRNA from 1 species
AACAAUGAAAGCUAUAAUUGUUUUUGAAAACCACAAUUUAUAGGUGAAUUUGCCUAGAGAUUUUUUUAAAGACUUAGAAAUGUUGAUUAAUGAAAACAUAUGUCGCUUUGCCCCUCCCCAGUUAAGUAGAAAUAUUUAAAUGGAGUUAAAGAGAAGCUGCACUGCAAAUUUUGUUCCAAGCUAAAAUAUACACAGGAUUAGUAUUCUGAAAGCAAAUUGAAUCAUAAUUGUUUGAGAGUGCCUUACCCCGGUAGGUAUCUUUCCUUGUAGCAAAAAUGCAAUGUUUUUUAUUCAUUUUACACAGACAUUCUGUUAUAACCUCUGCUUAAAUAAAUAAAAAAAAAGUCAUCUUUCUCAUCGGUACCAUUUUCAUCCUUUGCUCUGUAUUCAUCCCUGCUCUCUUGAAGCUAAGAUAUUGAAAAGGAUAAAUUUGGCUUGAUAGUACUAUGUAUAAUGAUGCUACUGUAUGUUGCUAGGAUACCAUUUGGUGGUCAACUGUCUCCAGUGCAGCUGCUAUUACUUGCCAGACUGACAGACAUAUUAGCUUUUAUCCCCCCUAAUGCUCGGGCUACAGAAAGUUUCCCUUCAUUUUAUUCCAUUUUGAUUUGGGGGGAGAGAUCAAGGUAAAGGUGCAGAAAGUACAGAAACACAAAGAAGCUACGGUGCACUUGAAUGUUGGUCUUCAUAUAUUUGAGAUGUGAUGAUUCCUGACAGCAACAGUGUCUUCAGAAUCAGGCACUGAGAGAAGGCGACCUCUAACAGAUGAAUGGCAGUGCUCAAAUUCAGAUUUAAGAAUUGGAUUAUGACUGAAGUGAUAGCACUCCUAUAUGACUGUCAACAUUUACUCUUUAUUCCAGGCUGCCAAGUUAAUGAAGAAUGGAACAUUCAGCAAAAUAGAAAAUCCAUAUCAACAUCACCCCAGAUAAUAUCACUUAAUAAAGAGUUUAAUAUCAC